GUGACAGAAGAGAGUGAGCACAGAUGGUAUUUUCUUGCAAGAUAACGAUUUAUGCUUGAAGCUAUGCGUGCUUACUCUCUAUCUGUCAC
rnacentral:pre_miRNA from 1 species